GUGAAUAAACUGAAGCUUGGGGAUGUGAAGUCCGUUGUCUGUGAUCAUACGUUUGGUGAAAGAGUAAGAGAAGGCUUUUCACAUGAGAUUUGAUGUGGUUUGGAUUUGUGUCCCUGCCCAAAUCUCAUGUCAAAUUGGAAGGAUUGGAGAACAGUGGUUCCCUGCUUUGGUGCUACAAUCACAAGUGAUGCUCUAAGGAAUAAUUUGUGCUAAUUUUUAUGGUGAAGGAAGAAAAAUGGCAGAACUUUGGGAAACCUCUUAAAAAUUCUGCUGAAAUGUGGCACUGGCCGCUUCUCACAUUCCAUCAGUCAAGCAAGUCACAGAGCCAAGAGUGACAUCAAUGAGACACAGAAGUAUAUGUGGUAAUGGUCAUAGAUAUAGUAUCCUCUUCCAGGUAAGGGAGAAAAUAUUUGGGAUUCACACAUGCAAUUUACUUUACUAGGCAAAUCACUUGUAAUGGUGAAAUAUUAUUUUUAAUCAUGAGCAUUUUCAUAGGUCUGAAAAUAAUGGCAACAAUAGGAAAUGCUUCAAUUCAUUUAUGUAUUGAGAAUCUAAAAUGAAAAUCAACACAGGAAGAAUGAUUUUUGCAUCCUAUCUAAGCCAUCACUUAUUUAAGAUGUUGAAAACAAUAUUCUUUUGCACUAAUAUGAAAAUGGUACUCCCUAAUUUAGGACUGGUAAGCGCAACCUAACUGGAUAAAAUGGUGACCAUUCAUUGUGUGAAAAUUCAUAUAGUGUUUAUUUGCAUAUAUUAUGUGCAUCACAAUCUGCUAUAAAUUUUUUUCUGCACUUAAACUUUUGAAUUACUUUACAUAUUACUCUGCUUAAUGUCUUGGCUUUAUUGAUUGGUUCAGCCAAUCAACUCUCUGACUUUGUCUAUGUCUCCUCCCUUACUUUCCACUCGUUUUCUCAGUCAGGGAAUUUUAUAGAGGUUUAUAUGUGUGAGAUUCAUGCUUAAGAUCAGUAAUUUAAAAUCUGCCCAAAAUAUUUGCCAUUUUUAACUGUUUUUGCUAUUAUAGACCACAAAUACCUGGUGCCAGGCCACACAACAUGAUAUGAUGCACUUACGUGCUCAGACCUGCAUUUGAGGGGCCACUGAGCUAGACCAAAUUUCUUCAAACCUUAAAGGGCAUCACCUGGAGAUCUUGUUCAAAUGCAGAUUCUAAUUCAGCUAUCUGUGAGUGUGAAGGCAUUGCAUUUCCAACAAGGUCCCAGGUAAUCUGAGGCUGCAGGGUCCAGGAACCACACUUUGAGUAGCAAGAGUCUAACCAAUGAAAUUGUGAAUACUGAAGCUCAUGGGUGUGGCACCUUAUCUAUAACUACGUUACUAAUUAGUGGUGAAGGUCCUCCUAACGCAUGACUGAGUGAAGGUUCCAUCCUACUGUGUGUAACCACCAUUGUUUAUUUAGUUUUCUUACUAACGGUAAUUAUUCUGUGCCUCAAGCCAGGAUUUUAUUUGAUUUCACCACAAGCUAUAAAGUUCCUUCAGGUAAGCUGGGUUCCAGGAUCUUAAAAUUAAAGGAGAAAAUGUGUCCAGCACAGGAAGUUAUUUAUGUUGUGGGGGAUAAGUCUCUGGAUUGGUAGCAGUCUGUUCAUCUAUCAGAAAAGUCCCCUGGACGUGGCCACAAGAGAAAUGGAGUGUUUUACACUAUAGCAGGUGGGCACAGGAGCAGAGAGGGAGUGUCUUUAAGCACAAUACCUACAGCAAUGGAAUGCUGACUCUUCUCUGAUUUCCUCUCCUUUCUAAUUCUAUAGUCAAGCAAAAGUAGAGAUGCAUGCCAACCAAAGAGGGGCAUAUUUUCGGGGCUGCUUUUCUUUCCUGGCCUCUCCCAUCUUGAUGAAAAGGACUGUGUGAAGUGUGUGUGUGCAUGUGCCCAAGCAUGUGCCUUGUGGUUGGGAGCUCCAUGUAAACCUGCUGUUCUUCUUCUUCUUCUCCUCCUUCUUUUUCUUCUUCCUCUUCUCCUUCCCCUCUCCUCCUUUCUUCUUCUUCCUUCUUCUCCUCCUCCUUCUUCCUCCUCCUUCCUCCUCCUCUUUCUCCUUCUCCUUCUUCUUCCUCUUCCUUCUUCUCCUCCUCCUUCCUCCUCUUCUUCCUCUCCUCCUCCUCCUUUUUCCUCUUCUUCUUCCUCUCCUUCUCCUCCUUCUUCCUCUUCUUCACAAAACAUUAAAAAGUUACCAUUCCAAUCACUUUUAAGUGUGUGGUUCUGUGGAAUGAGACACAUUCACAUUGUUGUGCAACCAUCAUCACCAUCUCCAGAACUUUUUCAUCCUCCCAAACUAAAACUUGCCCCAUUGAACAUCGAUUCCCCCCAUUCCCACAACCAUCAUUCUAAUUUCUGUCUCUAUGAAUUCGACUACUCUGAGACCCUCAUAUGAAUGGAAUCAUAGGAUAAUUAUCCUUUUAUGUCUGCCUUAUUUCUCUUAGCAUGCCUUACCUCUUUUAAAGCCAAGUUUUAAUUUAAUAAGCAUUAUUACUAUUUUCACUCUGCAUUGUUGAACUGAAGGUUGGUGGGAUGGUAUUGUGUCUGGAAUUGGUGGGUUUUUGGUCUCACUGACUUCAAGAAUGAAGCCGCAGACCCUUGCUGUGGGUGUUACAGCUCUUAAGGCGGCGCGUCUGGAGUUGUUCAUUCCUCCCGGUGGGCUCGUGGUCUCACUGGCUUCAGGAGUGAAGCUGCAGACUUUCGCGGUCAGUGUUACAGCUCAUAAAAGCGGUGUGGACCCAAAGAGUGAGCGGUAGCAAGAUUUAUUGCAAAGAGCAAAAGAACAAAGCUUCCACAGUGUGGAAGGGGACCUGAGCAGGUUGCCACUGGUGGCUCAGGCAGCCUGCUUUUAUUCUCUUCUCUGGCCUCACCCACAUCCUGCUGAUUGGUAGAGCCAAGUGGUCUGUUUUGACAGAGCGCUGAUUGGUGCGUUUACAAUCCCUGAGCUAAACACAAAGGUUCUCCACUGUACCCACUAGAUUGGCUAGAUACAGAGUGUGGACACAAAGGUUCUCCAAGUCCCCACCAGAGUAGCUAGAUACAGAGUGUUGAUUGGUGCAUUCACAAACCCUAAGCUAGACACAGGGUGCUGAUUGGUGUUUACAAACCUUGAGCUAGCUACAGAGUGCCGAUUGGUGUAUUUACAAUCCCUGAGCUAGACAUAAAGGUUCUCCAAGGCCUGACCAGAGUAGCUAGAUACAGUGUGUUGAUUGGUGCAUUCACAAACCCUGAGCUAGACACAGGGUGCUGAUUGGUGUAUUUACAAUCCCUGAGCUAGACACAAAGGUUCUCCACUCCCCACCAGGCUCAGGGGCCUAGCUGGCUUCACCCAGUGGAUCUCGCACAGGGGCUGCAGGUGGAGCUGCCUGCCAGUCCCGCA